GGAUAUAAGGGCAAUCUGACUACAAUCAACAAGAGUGACUAGGUGGGUGUCUUCCUCCUCCCUCACUUGUCCAUGUGCUUCCCUCCUGAAGCUGAGUGCUCAGUGGAAGAGAGUGGCUUUCAUUAGUCAAAGACACACACGUUGCUGCGCUUCCCCACUAGUAUCUCCAGACAAGUUCUCAAUUGUUUCACUGAAGGAGAUAAGUCAGGUAAGCUUACUGGUGAUGAUAACGAUGUAAUAGGACACACUCAUGGGGAGCUUGGGUU
ensembl:misc_RNA 7SK 7SK RNA